ensembl:lncRNA
GCAAAGAAAGUAGAAUGAGUUAUAGAGCCCACGAAUGCCUCAGUUUCCAGAAAGUUUACAAUAAUCUCCACAGAAAGACUCCUCAUAAUACAUGCACUGAGCUCAUCUGCAGGUAAGAUUAUGGAAACGGGUGCAAGGCUUUAAGAAAUCAAAACACGAGCACCUGAAAGCUAAAAAAUAAAUAAAUCAGACUCACCUUAGUGAAGACAAAGGCAUUAACACCAUUCUGAAAUUUAGAACUACAAUUUCCUACAAUAAAGUAAUCAAUUGAUAUGAAAAUUUUAGUGUAGAACAUUAAAAAGAACAUCUGCACAUCCUUAAAAAAAGAGGGGGGGGGGGGAAGAUUGUGUGAGGUUUAUUGUGUGAGGAUUAAAUCUUUAAAUAAUCUUUUGUACCAUUACAAAUUUUAAAAACACUGGAGCCAGCAGACACUUUGAAAUGCAUUUUAAUUAAGUUAAUUUCAGUUACUCUUAUUUAGAUCUUUCAACAAAGUAAAAUAUUGCUUAGAGAAGGAAGGAAAGGGUUUAGUGAGUUUUCAUUCCUACACCUGAAAUAAUCAGUGGCAAAGAUGUAAGAACGACAAAUGUACAGCACAUCUUCAAAAAUGAUAACUCUUCACUCUGGUUUAAUAUCUUCCUUUAUUUUGAACCUUGAAUGAAUAAACACUAGAACACUCUUUAGUUUAAACACUUCAGUAACGUGGUAUGACCAAAAAAUUUCGUUAAAUCCUGAAAUUUUUACAACACUCUGAAUUUGUGGAAUUACUCUUUGGUGCACAGAAACACUGACUGCAGAAACACUUUCACUCAUUCACUGAAACAGUUAAAAAAUGUAUCACUCAUAUUUCUGACAUCACAACAAUGCUCAUUAGUAGGAAGAGCAGUGGCAACAAAAUAUCAUUAGAAUUUGCCAUGUGAGAUUAUUUACAUUUUUUAUUUCCGUAUGACACCUGCCAGCAAUUUCAGUCCUGCUCCUGCAGCAGCUCCAACACCGCCCACAGCUGCAGUGGCAGCCCCCGGCAGCCCAGCUGCACCUUCAAGAGGGAGGAGGGAAAAUAUUCACAGCUUCAAUAUGUUGCAUCAAGUCAAGCAGCUGAGUUUGCUUCUAACUUUAUCAGGAAUCAAAACAACUGACUGCCACCUAAUAGUGGCAUCACUGCCCCCUAGUGGUGUCAGAUUUCAUAAACUAAAAAAUGCCCUAUGGCUUAUACACCAAUACCUCACUCAUGUUGUAGGCACUAAAGUCAUUUUAAGGGUCUGGUAAAUGGCCUGCAUUUGUAUAGCGCUUUAGUUAGUCCCUAUGGACCCCAAAGCGCUUUACACUACAUUCAGUCAUCCACCCAUUCACACACUGGUGAUAGCAAGCUACAUUGUAGCCACACAUA